rnacentral:rRNA from 2 species
UUUUAUGGAGAGUUUGAUCCUGGCUCAGGAUGAACGCUGGCGGCGUGCCUAAUACAUGCAAGUCGAGCGAACGGACGAGAAGCUUGCUUCUCUGAUGUUAGCGGCGGACGGGUGAGUAACACGUGGAUAACCUACCUAUAAGACUGGGAUAACUUCGGGAAACCGGAGCUAAUACCGGAUAAUAUUUUGAACCGCAUGGUUCAAAAGUGAAAGACGGUCUUGCUGUCACUUAUAGAUGGAUCCGCGCUGCAUUAGCUAGUUGGUAAGGUAACGGCUUACCAAGGCAACGAUGCAUAGCCGACCUGAGAGGGUGAUCGGCCACACUGGAACUGAGACACGGUCCAGACUCCUACGGGAGGCAGCAGUAGGGAAUCUUCCGCAAUGGGCGAAAGCCUGACGGAGCAACGCCGCGUGAGUGAUGAAGGUCUUCGGAUCGUAAAACUCUGUUAUUAGGGAAGAACAUAUGUGUAAGUAACUGUGCACAUCUUGACGGUACCUAAUCAGAAAGCCACGGCUAACUACGUGCCAGCAGCCGCGGUAAUACGUAGGUGGCAAGCGUUAUCCGGAAUUAUUGGGCGUAAAGCGCGCGUAGGCGGUUUUUUAAGUCUGAUGUGAAAGCCCACGGCUCAACCGUGGAGGGUCAUUGGAAACUGGAAAACUUGAGUGCAGAAGAGGAAAGUGGAAUUCCAUGUGUAGCGGUGAAAUGCGCAGAGAUAUGGAGGAACACCAGUGGCGAAGGCGACUUUCUGGUCUGUAACUGACGCUGAUGUGCGAAAG